GACGAACGCUGGCGGCGUGCUUAACACAUGCAAGUCGAACGGAAAGGCCCUGCUUUUGUGGGGUGCUCGAGUGGCGAACGGGUGAGUAACACGUGAGUAACCUGCCCUUGACUUUGGGAUAACUUCAGGAAACUGGGGCUAAUACCGGCUAGGAGCUCCUGCUGCAUGGUGGGGGUUGGAAAGUUUCGGCGGUUGGGGAUGGACUCGCGGCUUAUCAGCUUGUUGGUGGGGUAGUGGCUUACCAAGGCUUUGACGGGUAGCCGGCCUGAGAGGGUGACCGGCCACACUGGGACUGAGAUACGGCCCAGACUCCUAAGGGAGGCAGCAGUGGGGAAUAUUGCACAAGGGGUGGAAGCCGGAUGCAGCAACGCCGCGUGCGGGAUGACGGCCUUCGGGUGGUAAACCGCUUUCGCCUGUGACGAAGCGUGAGUGACGGUAAUGGGUAAAGAAGCACCGGCUAACUACGGU
rnacentral:rRNA from 1 species